UUUGUACACACCGCCCGUCACACCAUGGAAGCUGGUCACGCCCGAAGUCGUUACCCUAACCGUCAAAGGAGGGGGACGCCGAAGGUAGGACUGGUGACUGGGGUGAAGUCGUAACAAGGUAGCCGUACCGGAAGGUGUGGCUGGAUCACCUCCUUUUUAGGGAGACCCAAAGCAAUUCAAAAUGACCAAUUCAAAAUUCAAAAUGAAGAGUAAAAGUUUUGAAUUUUGAACGAGCGAACUUUGAAUUGAUUUUAUCCCGAGGUCGGUCGCAAGCAAAGUGUAGGCUUUCAAACUAUAAGUUAGGUUCGGAUAUGGGCUAUUAGCUCAGGUGGUUAGAGCGCACCCCUGAUAAGGGUGAGGUCCCUGGUUCGAGUCCAGGAUGGCCCACCUGAAGAGAAUUCAAAAUUCCAAAUUCAGAAUUCAAGAUGAGAAAAUUCAUCUUAAUUUUGAACAAUGAAAUAAUUUUGAAUUGAAGUAGGGGGGUAUAGCUCAGUUGGUAGAGCGCCUGCUUUGCAAGCAGGAUGUCAGGAGUUCGAGUCUCCUUACCUCCACCUGCGCCCUAAGUAAUUAAGUUUUGUGAUUCCAGCCUUGUCGAGUGUGCUCAAAUAGCAGCGAAUAAAAAUAGAGUGCACCUUGUGAGAAAAGCAAAAGUAAAAUUAUAAUCCGAGUGUAAUUGGAGAAAAUUCAGCAUCUUGUGAGCGAAAGCAAGAAUGCUGGGAGAUUUCCAGCAAAAGAACCUUGAAAACUGCAUAGAAACGCGAAAAAUGUCAGGUAGUUAACUGUCAAUAACAGUUAACACUCCGAACAAAAACAGCAAUGAUUGUUUGUAGUCAAGCAAUGAAAGGCGAAUGGUGGAUACCUAGGCACACAGAGAA
rnacentral:misc_RNA from 1 species